GCCUGGAUGGCUCAGUUGGUUAAGUGUCUGACUUUGGCUCAGGUCAUGAUCUCACAGUUUGUGAGUUCAAGCCCCACGUCAGGCU
rnacentral:tRNA from 1 species